rnacentral:SRP_RNA from 1 species
CGGGAGGCUGGCGCGGGCGGUGUCUUCGCCAACCCGGUCAGGACCGAAAGGUAGCAGCCGUAACGAAAUUCCCCGGGUCGUGUCCAGUCUCUCACUU